rnacentral:rRNA from 1 species
GAUGAACGCUGGCGGCGUGCCUAAUACAUGCAAGUCGAGCGAUCAGAUGAGGAGCUUGCUCCUCUGACGUUAGCGGCGGACGGGUGAGUAACACGUGGAUAACCUACCUAUAAGACUGGGAUAACUUCGGGAAACCGGAGCUAAUACCGGAUAAUAUAUUGAACCGCAUGGUUCAAUAGUGAAAGACGGUUUUGCUGUCACUUAUAGAUGGAUCCGCGCCGCAUUAGCUAGUUGGUAAGGUAACGGCUUACCAAGGCAACGAUGCGUAGCCGACCUGAGAGGGUGAUCGGCCACACUGGAACUGAGACACGGUCCAGACUCCUACGGGAGGCAGCAGUAGGGAAUCUUCCGCAAUGGGCGAAAGCCGGACGGAGCAACGCCGCGUGAGUGAUGAAGGUCUUCGGAUCGUAAAACUCUGUUAUUAGGGAAGAACAAAUGUGUAAGUAACUAUGCACGUCUUGACGGUACCUAAUCAGAAAGCCACGGCUAACUACGUG